UCCUAGCAAAAUUCUUGCUUGAGAAACUGCUCUUUGCUAAGAAGCUAUUUUUGCUUCUUUUUUUUCCAUUUUAACUGAAAACAAUCACAGUAAGGAUCAUCUGGGACCUUCUGUACCACCAGUGUGGCUUCCCUGGAUUUAGGAUGCCUCCUGCGGUGGGAUUGUCCUCAGGCCAACGCUAACACCACCACCUACACUGUCCAAACUAAGACUCAGGGAGAUCCAUGGCAGGACGUGGAGGGGUGUGUGCGGAUCUCCGCCCAGCACUGUGACGUGUCCCAGGCCUUCUCUGAUUUUGAACUCUACAACAUGAUCCGCCUGGGCCUCCACCAGGGCCCUGGGAGCCCAGUCUGGACAAAACCACCCUUCAACCGCCCCUCCGUCUCUGUGACUCUGUCUAGAGAGAGGCUGGUAGUGGAGGUGCACUUCCCCUGUUCUACCAACAGAGGGUGCUUUCCUCUGCAGAGCUGCUGUCCACUGUCAGAACUGAUUGACCCCUGGGUCACAGUGACCGUAUAUAACCAACAGAACCACUCUGACUACAAGAGGCGUACUGGUUGGGCCCAGGAGGUGGUGUACAGGGCUGAGUUCUCAGACCUGGUCUCAGGACAGGACUACUGUGCCUUGGCUAACUUCUCCUUUGGACCCCCCACCUUCCCCCUGGCCUCCUCUCCCCCCUCCCAC
rnacentral:lncRNA from 1 species